GCCAGACUCCUACGGGAGGCAGCAGUGGGGGAUAUUGCACAAUGGGGGGAACCCUGAUGCAGCGACGCCGCGUGGGUGAAGAAGUAUUUCGGUAUGUAAAGCCCUAUCGGCAGGGAAGAAAUUGGACGGUACCUGACUAAGAAGCCCCGGCUAACUACGUGCCAGCAGCCGCGGUAAUACGUAGGGGGCAAGCGUUAUCCGGAUUCACUGGGUGUAAAGGGAGCGUAGACGGCCAUGCAAGCCUGGAGUGAAAGCCCGGGGCCCAACCCCGGGACUGCUCUGGGAACUGUGCGGCUGGAGUGCGGGAGGGGCAGGCGGAAUUCCUGGUGUAGCGGUGAAAUGCGUAGAUAUCAGGAGGAACACCGGCGGCGAAGGCGGCCUGCUGGACCGCGACUGACGUUGAGGCUCGAAAGCGUGGGGAGCAAACAGGAUUAGAUACCCCUGUAGCC
rnacentral:rRNA from 1 species